AUUGAUSCDUGGACUCCCGRUUGAACGCUGGCGGCAUGCCUUACACAUGCAAGUCGAACGGCAGCACGGGAGCAAUCCUGGUGGCGAGUGGCGAACGGGUGAGUAAUAUAUCGGAACGUGCCCAGUCGUGGGGGAUAACGCAGCGAAAGCUGUGCUAAUACCGCAUACGAUCUCUGGAUGAAAGCGGGGGACCUGCAAGGCCUCGCGCGAUUGGAGCGGCCGAUAUCAGAUUAGCUAGUUGGUGGGGUAAAAGCUCACCAAGGCGACGAUCUGUAGCUGGUCUGAGAGGACGACCAGCCACACUGGAACUGACACACGGUCCAGACUCCUACGGGAGGCAGCAGUGGGGAAUUUUGGACAAUGGGCGCAAGCCUGAUCCAGCAAUGCCGCGUGCAGGAUGAAGGCCUUCGGGUUGUAAACUGCUUUUGUACGGAACGAAAAGGCUCUUUUUAAUAAAGAGGGCUCAUGACGGUACCGUAAGAAUAAGCACCGGCUAACUACGUGCCAGCAGCCGCGGUAAUACGUAGGGUGCGAGCGUUAAUCGGAAUUACUGGGCGUAAAGCGUGCGCAGGCGGUUUUGUAAGACAGAUGUGAAAUCCCCGGGCUCAACCUGGGACCUGCAUUUGUGACUGCAAGGCUAGAGUACGGUAGAGGGGGAUGGAAUUCCGCGUGUAGCAGUGAAAUGCGUAGAUAUGCGGAGGAACACCGAUGGCGAAGGCAAUCCCCUGGACCUGUACUGACGUCUGAGGUGCGAAAGCGUGGGGAGCAAACAGAUUAGAUACCCUGGUAGUCCACGCCGUAAACGAUGUCGACUAGCCGGUGGAUCCAUUUAAGGGUUUAGUGGCGCAGUAACGCGAUAAGUCGACCGCCUGGGGAGUACGGCCGCAAGGUUAAAACUCAAAGGAAUUGACGGGGGCCCGCACAAGCGGUGGAGCAUGUGGUUUAAUUCGAUGCAACGCGAAGAACCUUACCAGCCCUUGACAUCGAGAGAAUCCUGCAGAGAUGCGGGAGUGCCUUCGGGCCUUGAAGACAGGUGCUGCAUGGCUGUCGUCAGCUCGUGUCGUGAGAUGUUGGUUAAGUCCCGUAACGAGCGCAACCCUUCCUUAGUUGCCAGCGGUUCGGCGGGAACUCUAAGGAGACUGCCGGUGAUAAACCGGAGAAGGUGGGGAUGACGUCAAGUCAUCAUGGCCCUUAUGGGCUGGGCUACACACGUGCUACAAUGGUCGGUACAGAGGGUUGCAAACCGCGAGGGGAAGCCAAUCCCAGAAAACCGAUCGUAUCCGGAUUGCAGUCUGCAACUCGACUGCAUGAAGUCGGAUCGCUAGUAAUCGCGAAUCAGCAUGUCGCGGUGAAUACGUUCCCGGGCCUUGUACACACCGCCCGUCACACCAUGGGAGUUGGUUGCACCAGAAGUAGAUAGCUUAACCUUCGGGAGGGCGUUUACCACGGUGUGAUCAAUGACUGGGGUGAUGUCGUAACAAG
rnacentral:rRNA from 1 species